rnacentral:lncRNA from 1 species
CGUUAUAAGAUUGCAAAUAAUGCAAAUUGAGGUAUAAGAGAUACUAUUAUGUACCCAACUCUUCGUAGUAGGUUAGCAUAAUGGAAUGGUGCAGUCAUACGAUUGAGGCAACACGUUAUAAGAUUGCAAAUAAUGCAAAUGGAGGUAUAGAUACUAUUAUGUACCCAACUCUUCGUAGUAGGUUAGCAUAAUGGAAUGGUGCAGUCAUACGAUUGAGGCAGCGUUGUAGCCGGAGACUUUUACCCUCUUUCACUCGUAGAUGACUCCACCAUUAAUCUCUGCGUUGGGGUUACUUUUAUAUUGAAUCCUAGAAACAAACCAUGUCUGAUUGUCAAAGCGGAAGCUCAUUAUGUGGUUUAUGGGGAAGAAAGAAAAAAUGUAUUUUAUAGUGAUGUUGAAACGACAAAUACAUAAUAGUUUCAAAAAAUAAAAAUGUUUUCUGAUUCCAUCUGGUUUGUUACAUUCAUCUGAUUUUGGAUCGGCAAUUCUCUUCUGCAAUCUGAUAUUACCGAUUCAACCCAUCUAAAUGGUAUUAUGUGAUCGAUAAUUAUUUCUAAAACAAAUCAAUGAACUAUUGAAGGGACAGCGAAGGAGACGGGAAAUUUGGGGUAAGCACAGACCACAACAUGCAGACCUUUAUAGUUUGAAUAUCAUCAUAUGAACGUGAAUUUAGCCUUGCAAAAGUUUCACUCCCACCUAACAUUAGUC